rnacentral:tRNA from 1 species
GGUUCCGUGGUGUAGGGGUUAACAUGCCUGCCUGUCACGCAGGAGAUCGCGGGUUCAAAUCCCGUCGGAGCCG